rnacentral:rRNA from 1 species
UACGAGGGGAGCAAGCGUUGUUCGGAUUUACUGGGCGUAAAGGGCGCGUAGGCGGUCGUGACAAGUCACUUGUGAAAUCUCCGGGCUUAACUCGGAACGGUCAAGUGAUACUGUCGGACUAGAGUACAGAAGGGGCAACUGGAAUUCUCGGUGUAGCGGUGAAAUGCGUAGAUAUCGAGAGGAACACCUGGCGGCGAAGGCGGGUUGCUGGGCUGAUACUGACGCUGAUGCGCGAAAGCCAGGGAGCGAACGGG